rnacentral:rRNA from 1 species
ACGAUGAAGCCCAGCUUGCUGGGUGGAUUAGUGGCGAACGGGUGAGUAACACGUGAGUAACCUGCCCUUGACUCUGGGAUAAGCGCUGGAAACGGCGUCUAAUACCGGAUACGACCUGCCCCGGCAUCGGGUGUGGGUGGAAAGUUUUUCGGUCAAGGAUGGACUCGCGGCCUAUCAGCUUGUUGGUGAGGUAAUGGCUCACCAAGGCGACGACGGGUAGCCGGCCUGAGAGGGUGACCGGCCACACUGGGACUGAGACACGGCCCAGACUCCUACGGGAGGCAGCAGUGGGGAAUAUUGCACAAUGGGCGAAAGCCUGAUGCAGCAACGCCGCGUGGGGGAUGACGGCCUUCGGGUUGUAAACCUCUUUUAGUAGGGAAGAAGGACUUCGGUUUGACGGUACCUGCAGAAAAAGCACCGGCUAACUACGUGCCAGCAGCCGCGGUAAUACGUAGGGUGCAAGCGUUGUCCGGAAUUAUUGGGCGUAAAGAGCUCGUAGGCGGUUUGUCGCGUCUGCUGUGAAAACCCGAGGCUCAACCUCGGGCCUGCAGUGGGUACGGGCAGACUAGAGUGCGGUAGGGGAGAAUGGAAUUCCUGGUGUAGCGGUGGAAUGCGCAGAUAUCAGGAGGAACACCGAUGGCGAAGGCAGUUCUCUGGGCCGUAACUGACGCUGAGGAGCGAAAGCAUGGGGAGCGAACAGGAUUAGAUACCCUGGUAGUCCAUGCCGUAAACGUUGGGCGCUAGAUGUGGGGACCUUUCCACGGUUUCCGUGUCGCAGCUAACGCAUUAAGCGCCCCGCCUGGGGAGUACGGCCGCAAGGCUAAAACUCAAAGGAAUUGACGGGGGCCCGCACAAGCGGCGGAGCAUGCGGAUUAAUUCGAUGCAACGCGAAGAACCUUACCAAGGCUUGACAUAUACCGGAAACUUCCAGAAAUGGUUGCCCCGCAAGGUCGGUAUACAGGUGGUGCAUGGUUGUCGUCAGCUCGUGUCGUGAGAUGUUGGGUUAAGUCCCGCAACGAGCGCAACCCUCGUUCUAUGUUGCCAGC